rnacentral:rRNA from 1 species
CCUACGGGUGACAGCAGUGAGGAAUAUUGGUCAAUGGCCGCAGGGCUGAACCAGCCAAGUCGCGUGAGGGAUGACGGUCCUAUGGAUUGUAAACCUCUUUUGUCAGGGAGCAAAGCGCGCCACGUGUGGCGCUUUGCGAGUACCUGAAGAAAAAGCAUCGGCUAACUCCGUGCCAGCAGCCGCGGUAAUACGGAGGAUGCGAGCGUUAUCCGGAUUUAUUGGGUUUAAAGGGUGCGCAGGCGGAAUGUCAAGUCAGCGGUAAAAUUUCGGGGCUCAACCCCGUCGUGCCGUUGAAACUGGCGUUCUUGAGUGAGCGAGAAGUAGGCGGAAUGCGUGGUGUAGCGGUGAAAUGCAUAGAUAUCACGCAGAACUCCGAUUGCGAAGGCAGCAUACCGGCGCUCAACUGACGCUCAUGCACGAAAGCGUGGGUAUCGAACAGGAUUAGAUACCCCUGUAGUC